GCGAGUUAGGGUCUCCCAAGGCCCGAUCUCCCAACCCUAUGUUUAUUGUACCAUGUGUUGCUUCGGCGGGACCGUCUUCACGACCGCCGGAGGGCCGUAAAACGUCCUCUGGCCCGCGCCCGCCGAUGGCCCCCCACCAAAAAAUUCUGAAUAAUCAUGCCUAUAUUGUCUGAGUAAUACAUAAAAAUUAAAGCA
rnacentral:misc_RNA from 1 species